rnacentral:lncRNA from 1 species
GUCAUCAAAUUCUGUCAUCAUCUCCACCACCACGGAUCAUCCUUUGAUCUCCCCGUGAAUUGCAACAGGUUCUAGUUUUCUACCUUACUGCUGCUGCAAUUUAGUUAUCUUUAUUUGAAAAUCCCAAAAAAACUAUUCCUAUAUUUCUGCAUAAACUUUUCGUCAUAAAGUUUUCAUCUCUACGACAAAAGAUACAUUGCAAAAUUCCAACCGUAUAACACCGUCUGUUUGAUCUUGCUACUGUGUUUUUUCAAUCCAAAUC